UUGCAAUGCUUGGAAAGUGUCUCAGGUGUGAGUUGGUGGAGCCUGCACUCCCAGCAGCUAAGGUGACAAGCGUUUUUCGGUUCUGCCAGGGGAUCUGAGUGGCACACAACAACAUCCACUAUGAAAUGUGGUGUGUGCUGGGUGGGGGCUGACUGAGGAGCUCGAGAGUAGGAGUGAGGCAGGCUAUUUUAAAGAGGUGGCAAGGGAAGGCCUCUCUGAGCAAAGGCAGAGACUUUAGGCAAAGACUUGAUUGGUGUGAGGAAGUGAGCCAUUCAAAGUCAAGGGCACCAGAGGUUCUAAGCAGAGGAAACAGCAAAUGCAAAGCAGAGAACAAGCUUGGCACAUUUGAGAACCAACAAUAAGUCCAGUGUGUCUGGAGCCACAGGAGUCAAGGAGACAGCAGCUGGCAGUUCAGCCAAUGGGCUACCAGGAAACCAGAUGGCAGAGAGCCUGGUAGACCACGGUAGAAGCAUAUGGGAAACUGCAUUCCGAUCCAGGGAAGUAUAGGAAGCAGUAAUAAAAGUGGGAAGACCUAUUAUAAGUUCGUUGCAGUCAUCCAGGAGGCAGAGUGUGUGCAGGAACUCAAAGCCCA
rnacentral:lncRNA from 1 species